rnacentral:rRNA from 1 species
AAUGAACCCGGGUAGUCCACGCCGUAAACGAUGUCGACUUGGAGGUUGUGCCCUUGAGGCGUGGCUUCCGGAGCUAACGCGUUAAGUCGACCGCCUGGGGAGUACGGCCGCAAGAUUAAAACUCAAAUGAAUUGACGGGGGCCCGCACAAGCGGUGGAGCAUGUGGUUUAAUUCGAUGCAACGCGAAGAACCUUACCUGGUCUUGACAUCCACGGAAGUUUUCAGAGAUGAGAAUGUGCCUUCGGGAACCGUGAGACAGGUGCUGCAUGGCUGUCGUCAGCUCGUGUUGUGAAAUGUUGGGUUAAGUCCCGCAACGAGCGCAACCCUUAUCCUUUGUUGCCAGCGGUUCCGGCCGGGAACUCAAAGGAGACUGCCAGUGAUAAACUGGAGGAAGGUGGGGAUGACGUCAAGUCAUCAUGGCCCUUACGACCAGGGCUACACACGUGCUACAAUGGCGCAUACAAAGAGAAGCGACCUCGCGGGAGCAAGCGGACCUCAUAAAGUGCGUCGUAGUCCGGAUUGGAGU